rnacentral:rRNA from 1 species
CCUACGGGAGGCAGCAGUCGGGAAUAUUGCGCAAUGGAGGAAACUCUGACGCAGUGACGCCGCGUGCAGGAAGAAGGUUUUCUGAUUGUAAACUCCUUUAGACAGGGAAGAAAAACGCCAGUCCCUGUCGAAUCAGCUCGGGCUAACUACGUGCCAGCAGCCUCGGUCAUACGUAGGGGGCAAGCGUUAUCCGGAAUCAUUGGGCGUAAAGAGUUCGUAGGUGGCAAGUUAAGUCUGGUGGUAAAGGCGGAAGCUCAACUUCCGUAGGGCAGUGGAUACUGGCGAGCUUGAAUGCGGUAGAGGUAAAGGGAAUUCCCGGUGUAGCGGUGAAAUGCGUAGAUAUCAGGAGGAACAUCGGUGGCGUAAGCGCUUUACUGGGCCGUAACUGACACUGAGGAACGAAAGCCGGGGUAGCAAAUGGGAUUAGAUACCCUUGUAGUC